UCCCCUUCCCCCCCCUUCCCUUCUCUCCCUUGUUAGUACGGAUGACGCUCAGUCUGAAAUGGUUGGCUUCUUCUUCUUCUUCUAGAAGCUAACAUUUCAGUCUAUUCUUAUUUUACCCCAACAUUUCAGUUUAUUCCUUUUUUUUUUUGUUCUUCAUAUUGAAAGGUUAAGGGUAAAAUAGGAAUAUAAUGAAAUGUUGGCUUCUUCACCUUUGACAUUUCUCACAAUCGCAAAAGAGGGAGCUCCGAAUCUAUUUUAAUAAAGUUUUCAUUGUCUUGUUUUUUCCUUGAAUUAUUAUUUGCUGGGUUUCUCUGGUGUUAGAAUUUUCUGCUGUUGUUACUUUUUUGUUGUUUCCAUUUUAGUUCAUGUAAUCCUUAUGUUGCCCAGGGUGCUGAUACUUACACUCUCAGCAUGCAUGGCUUGAACUUGCAAUUACAAUCAGUAAGGGAUGUCUAUUGCGCGCGUUGACGUGCCUAUGAUCAAAGUAUCAAACUACGUACAGUUAUUGUGAACAUACCCCAAUUCUUGCAAUUGGAAAGGUUUAAUUAUCAUUCAUUUUAUUUUCCCAGCAAGUGAACAAGGAUAAUAUAUAGGUUAUGAACCGUUAUGGGUAUGUUCUAUAUAUAGAAAAUCCACCCAAACAUAUUUUUCAAAAAUAAUAAAAUAUAAUAAAAAAACAUGAAUUGCCUAAAUAUGCUCUUAGCUACUAUAUGGUAAACUUCUGUCGCAAGUUGCCAAAUGCGUACGUUUUUCCUAGUGGUAAAGAGUAACCAUCCGAAUAUAGUUUUAAGAAAAUAUUUUUUUUUUCGGUUUUCGUAAUUUUUCAAAAUAUUCAAAACUUCAAAGAAGCUUAUAUACAUGAUGCUUAGGAAAUAAAAUUAGUUGAAAUUUGGAUUCCUUCUAAUGAUGCGACACCCCACUCCUUAAAGAGGAUGUGAAGUAAUGCAUAAGGACGACAGCGUAGUAAACGGUAGUGAUAAGAUAAGAGUUUGGUAUAUCAGACAAAUGUUAAGGUUUCUCAACACUUUUUUCAUAAACUUGGUUCCAGCUAAUUUUUCUUAGCGGAUCCGGGUGUGGCACCAAUUAUAUGAUGAUGGAACCAAAUUUCUACCUCUCCCACUAACUUUUCUUGGUGGAGUUGGUAUUGCAUCAUUAUUAUAGACCCAAGUUUCAACUAUUACGGCUAACUUUUCUUGGUGGAGUUGGUGUUGCAUCAUUAUGAUAGACCCAAGUUUCAACUAUUACGGCUAAGUGGAGUUGGUAUUGCAUCAUUAUCAUAGACCCAAAUUUCAACUAUUACGGCUUUUCUUGGUGGAGUUGGUGUUGCAUCAUUAUGAUAGACCCAAGUUUCAACUAGAGUUGGUAUUGCAUCAUUAUCAUAGACCCAAGUUUCAACUACAGUUGGUAUUGCAUCAUUAUCGUUUCAACUAUUACGGCUCAUUAUCGUUUCAACUAUUACGGCUAUGUGGAGUUGGUAAUGCUUCAUUAUCAUAGACCCAAGUUUCAACUAUAGUUGGUAUUGCAUCAUUAUCGUUUCAACUAUUACAGUUGGUAUUGCAUCAUCAUUAUAGACCCAAGUUUCAACUAUAGUUGGUAUUGCAUCAUUAUCAUAGACCCAAGUUUCAACUGUAGUUGGUAUUACAUCAUUAUCGUUUCAACUAUUACGGCUAACUGGAGUUGGUAUUGCAUCAUUAUCAUAGACCCAAGUUUCAACUACAGUUGGUAUUGCAUCAUUGUCGUUUCAACUAUUACGGCUAAGUGGAGUUGGUAUUGCAUCAUUAUCAUAGACCCAAGUUUCAACUAUAGCUGGUAUUGCAUCAUUAUCAUAGACCCAAGUUUCAACUUCAACGAUUCCGGCUACUUUUUGCGUGGUGGGAGGGAGUGGGCGUGUAACCCAAUUUCCACUAUUGCACCACCCACGCUUUCAAAUCCAGUCAAUGGAUGAUGAUAUGAUGCCACGUCUCCAGCGAAAAUGAUGCCCACUGAAAGGAUUCAAUCGGUUCCCGUUAAAACACUGUUUAUUUGAUUGUAUAAAAGCUGGCUGAACUCGCUCAUUUUUUAAGAUGUCAAACUACACCCAUAUCUUCAUAUCUGCACCCAUGUCUUCAUAUCCCAUUUUCUUUUAUUGGACUCGCUCCUUGAGAUUUCUGUGUCUAAAGGGGAACGUAUUGAGACUGCGCCCAUGUCUUCAUAUCCCAUUUUCUUUUAUUGGACUCGCUCCUUGAGAUUUCUGUGUCUAAAGGGGAACGUAUAGAGACUGCGCCCAUGUCUUCAUAUCCCAUUUUCUUUUAUUGGACUCGCUCCUUGAGAUUUCUGUGUCUAAAGGGGAACGUAUGGAGACUGCACCCAUAUCUUCAUAUCCCAUUUUCUUUUAUUGGAUUUGACAUGUUCAGUGUUUAAAAAUAAUAAUAAUAAUAAUAAGAGCCAUAAACACUGUCGUAUCAUACUAAUAAAAUAAUAUUGGAUGAGAAUAAAGUUUGGUGCAUUUCUCUUAAAGCUAUAUACUACAUCAAUGUCUAACUACUAUUUUAUUAUGUGUCAGCAAAUCGAGAUACUUGCAAGACAUAAACGUGUAUAUAGCAUUAUUCUUCUCGUUUAUAAAACAUGACUCGGUUUUGUAAGCCCAUACUAUUUGAAGACCUUGUGUGGUUUUUAGGUAGCAUGGGCUCGCUAGCACAUCAUAAGUAAGGUCGUUAGGGUUACGAAAAUCUACUUAAUUAAAAAGCUCCCAUUCUAUUAUGUAACUUUUUAGACUUAUUUAAAUCGCAUACAAUUCGUUACCGUUAGAUCGGUGCUUGUAUCAUUUGAUUACUAAGAGUUUUCCACUUUAUCCUAUAUAUAUAACUUUGCGCGAUAUGGUUUGAUCGGUUACUUUAUAUUAUUCGAAUGAUAACUUUUUUCUGCAACUCAUGUGAUUCUCCACCUAAUCUUUCAAAUAGUAUUCACCAUUGUUUGAACGGUAGGUUUUCACUAACCCCCAACGUGGUGUACUGUUCAAUUAGUAUCUACCCACCAAUAGAACGUUUUUAGAGAGAUUCCACCAAGUGUUUUCUGAACCUAAUUUUUCUAAUUUCUACCUCGUUAAGGUAUUUUUAACCAUAGUUUAGAUUGGGGGAUCACAAGUUUGAGGGCUCAAAAUUUACUUAUGUUCAACCAAAUAGGAAGUGGCUAUGGCGCUAUGCUUAUGAGAAAGAAAUUAUGCAGAGAUUUGUAGUGAAUUUUAAAUAUGACAACACAUAGGAUCGGUGUUGUUAUGGUUGGCGUUUGAAAUAAUUUUUUGAGGAAAUGGGAUGAGUUUUGUAGAUAUGCUGGACUCAAGGUGGGUGACAUUCAAAUAUUUAAAAUUGGAAAAAUUGCACAAUCGGUCAAUGUGGUCGGCCUAAAUUUUAAAUUACUCUAUCUAGUAUCAAAAUUAAUUCAGAGAUCCGUGUAAUUAAUUGGCUUAAUUUACAUAUCUUUUCCUGGAGUGAAAUUCGAUUAGUUGUCACAUCACCGCUAAUAAGAUGGCAACACGUGUCGAUUAUAAUAAUAAAAAAAUAUAUAAAUAAAUAAAUUUUAAAAAAAUAUUUUUUUUAAAAAAAAAUAUAUAUAUAUAUAUAUAUAUAUAUAUAUAUUUUCGGGGAGGCCAUUUCUUGGAGGCCUCUGUGGGGCACAACCCUUCAUAUGUCUAGAGGAGCAUAAGCAAGGCAAGGCCAGCUUUAAUUCGGGGUCUACGGUGGAGAGUUGGCAAUGGAGAUAACAUCAAUGUGAGGAAGGAUAAGUGGCUGCCAGGGUUUACCCUUAACGAAGGCACUUCUGGACGCAGUACCAAUCCGAAUAUGAGAGUUAGUGAGCUAAUUGAUCAUGAUUCUGGAUGGUGGAACAUGAAUGUUAUUCAAGACCUGUUCACUCCAACAGAAGUGGAGGCCAUUUGUAGCUUGGUAGUGAGCCCUCGAGGUCGGCCUGACAAAUUGGUGUGGACAGGAACGAUGAAUGGUUGCUACUCAGUCAAGAGCUCCUACCAUUUGGAGAUGGGGGAAUGCUCUUCAGUUUAGGAGACAGCAAAGGUGUGGAAGCGUCUAUGGAAGUUGAAGACAAUAGGGGUAGUGAAGAAUUUUCUUUGGAAACUCUACUCCAAUGCGCUACCCACAAAAGACUUGCUGCUUCGAAGACAUAUUGUCUCUGAUCCGCUCUGUCUCAUGUGUUUGACUAACCCGGAAACAGCAUGGCAUAUGCUAUGGACCUGUCCAGCAACAGUAUCGGCUUGGCAGGAGUGUUCUAGGUGACUACAAAAGCUAUCCUUGGGGGAAUCUGAUCGUUUUGUGUGGCUGAUGUGUAUGCAGGAAUGACUCAAUGUGGAGGAACUCAUAGAAGCAGUGACGAUAGCCCGGUUCAUCUGGCUCCGCCGCAAUGCUUGCGUCUUUGGGAGGGAGGUUGUUCCUAAUCCAUUCCAAGUCGUGCAAAUGGCGAAUGAGGCUAUCACCCAGUUCAAUGAGGCAUUAGCCAUGGAUUCUGUGCCAUCUCUUUCGCAGGUUCCUCGGGAGAUAAGGUGGAGAUGACUAGAGGUGGGUUUAUUGAAGAUGAACUGGCCGGGACACUGCAUUAUGCUCAGAAAGGAAGACAAUGGGGGUGGGGGCGAUUUUGAGGGACGAGCAUGGGACUGUUGUGGCAUCAUUGGCGGUGUAGGUUCCUUUCAUCAAUAAUCCCACUGUGGCUGAGGCAGUGGCCUUCUGGAGAGCUGUGCGACUUUGUGGCGAUCUUGGCCACCUUCGGGUGAUUUUUGAGGGUGACUCCAUGCAGGCGGUUCAAGGGUUCCAUAAUGCUGGAUUGAGUCGCAUGCCCAACUCUUGGAGGAUUCCCGCACAUUACAGUGCAACUUUCAGACAUUUGAGAUGCAGUAUGCCCCCCGUGAAGCUAACCUAGCGGCACAUGUUUUGGCCAAAUUUACGAUUGAUCAGGCUAUGGAUUGUGUAUGGAUUGGUGAUUGUCCAUCACCUAUCCUUCCUCAUGUAUUAGCCGACCAAGGCUCUUAUUUUUUUUUUUUUUUUGAACAAAGUCAAUCAAUCUUAUAAAUAAGAAUCAAGAUAGUAGAUGAUCCGAAAAA